rnacentral:rRNA from 1 species
UACAGAGGGUGCUAGUGUUGUUCGGAAUCAUUGGGCGUAAAGGGCGCGUAGGCGGCAUGGCAAGUGGAAGGUGAAAUCCCUCGGCUUAACCGAGGAACUGCCCUCCAAACUGCUUUGCUUGAGGCCGGGAGAGGUGAGUGGAAUUCCCAGUGUAGCGGUGAAAUGCGUAGAUAUUGGGAGGAACACCAGUGGCGAAGGCGGCUCGCUGGACCGGUUCUGACGCUGAGGCGCGAAAGCGUGGGGAGCAAACGGG